rnacentral:rRNA from 1 species
ACGCUCGACACCUACGGGAGCAGCAGUGGGGAAUAUUGCACAAUGGAGGAAACUCUGAUGCAGCGAUGCCGCGUGAGGGAAGAAGGUUUUCGGAUUGUAAACCUCUGUCUUUGGGGACGAUAAUGACGGUACCCAAGGAGGAAGCUCCGGCUAACUACGUGCCANCNGCGNGUAUNGAGGCGGCUGACGAGC